rnacentral:rRNA from 1 species
AUUGAACGCUGGCGGCAGGCCUAACACAUGCAAGUCGAACGAGUGGCGGACGGGUGAGUAAUGUCUGGGAAACUGCCUGAUGGAGGGGGAUAACUACUGGAAACGGUAGCUAAUACCGCAUACCAUCAGAUGUGCCCAGAUGGGAUUAGCUUGUUGGUGGGGUAACAGCUCACCAAGGCGACGAUCCCUAGCUGGUCUGGGAGGAUGACCACCCACCCUGGAGCUAGAGCAGGGUCCGGACGCCUGCGGGAGGGAGCAGUGGGGAAUGUGGGACAAUGGGCGCAAACCUGAUGCAGCCGUGCCGCGUGUAUGAAGAAGGCCUUCGGGUUGUAAAGUACUUUCAGCGGGGAGGCGUUACCCGCAGAAGAAGCACCGGCUAACUCCGUGCCAGCAGCCGCGGUAAUAC